UGAUGUUACAGCUCUUUCAGAAUUUAUAUACUAGAUUUUCUGCUUUCACUGGAAAACCCCA
ensembl:snRNA U7 U7 small nuclear RNA